CCUGAGAGGGCGGACGGACACACUGGGACUGAGACACGGCCCAGACUCCUACGGGAGGCAGCAGUGGGGAAUUGUUCGCAAUGGGCGCAAGCCUGACGACGCAACGCCGCGUGGAGGAUGAAGAUUUUCGGAUCGUAAACUCCUUUCGAUCGAGACGAAUGGCCUCUGGGCUAACAUCCCGGAGGAAUGACGGUACCGAGAGAAGAAGCCCCGGCUAACUCCGUGCCAGCAGCCGCGGUAAUACGGGGGGGGCAAGCGUUGUUCGGAAUUACUGGGCGUAAAGGGCUCGUAGGCGGCCAUCUAAGUCAUACGUGAAAUCCCUCGGCUUAACCGGGGAACCGCGUCUGAUACUGGAUGGCUUGAGUUCGGGAGAGGGAUGCGGAAUUCCAGGUGUAGCGGUGAAAUGCGUAGAUAUCUGGAGGAACACCGGUGGCGAAGGCGGCAUCCUGGACCGAUACUGACGCUGAGGAGCGAAAGCCAGGGGAGCAAACGGGAUUAGAUACCCCGGUAGUCCUGGCCCUAAACGAUGAAUGCUUGGUGUGGCGGGUAUCGAUCCCUGCCGUGCCGAAGCUAACGCAUUAAGCAUUCCGCC
rnacentral:rRNA from 1 species